rnacentral:rRNA from 1 species
GCCGCGGUAAUACGUAGGGUGCAAGCGUUAUCCGGAAUUAUUGGGCGUAAAGGGCUCGUAGGCGGUUCGUCGCGUCCGGUGUGAAAGUCCAUCGCUUAACGGUGGAUCCGCGCCGGGUACGGGCGGGCUUGAGUGCGGUAGGGGAGACUGGAAUUCCCGGUGUAACGGUGGAAUGUGUAGAUAUCGGGAAGAACACCAAUGGCGAAGGCAGGUCUCUGGGCCGUUACUGACGCUGAGGAGCGAAAGCGUGGGGAGCGAACAGGAUUAGAUACCCUGGUAGUCCACGCCGUAAACGGUGGAUGCUGGAUGUGGGGCCCGUUCCACGGGUUCCGUGUCGGAGCUAACGCGUUAAGCAUCCCGCCUGGGGAGUACGGCCGCAAGGCUAAAACUCAAAGAAAUUGACGGGGGCCCGCACAAGCGGCGGAGCAUGCGGAUUAAUUCGAUGCAACGCGAAGAACCUUACCUGGGCUUGACAUGUUCCCGACGAUCCCAGAGAUGGGGUUUCCCUUCCGGGGCGGGUUCACAGGUGGUGCAUGGUCGUCAUCAGCUCAAGUCGUGAGAUGUUGGGCUCAAGUCCAGCAACGAGCGCAACCCUCGCCCCGUGUUGCCAGCGGAUUGUGCCGGGAACUCACGGGGGACCGCCCGGGGUUAACUCGGAGGAAGGUGGGGAUGACGUCAGAUCAUCAUGCCCCUUACGUCCAGGGCUUCACGCAUGCUACAAUGGCCGGUACAACGGGAUGCGACGCGGCGACGCGGAGCGGAUCCCUGAAAACCGGUCUCAGUUCGGAUCGCAGUCUGCAACUCGACUGCGUGAAGGCGGAGUCGCUAGUAAUCGCGAAUCAGCAACGUCGCGGUGAAUGCGUUCCCGGGCCUUGUACACACCGCCCGUCAAGUCAUGAAAGUGGGCAGCACCCGAAGCCGGUGGCCUAACCCCUUGUGGGAUGGAGCCGUCUAAGGUGAGGCUCGUGAUUGGGACUAAGUCGUAACAAGGUAACCAAUCGAAUUCCGCC